ACCUGUUAAUGACACAGUACAUACUUUUCAGGAGCUGACAAGAAACUGUCUGUAUGGUACAAUAAUACACCUUUCAGGAUGCAUCACUUUGCUAGGCAACCACUAGAAUUGGAGUUUGAAGAACAUGAUGGAUUCAGUGAGAAACUGCUUAAACUGUUCAUUACGUAUAAGCCUGAUGGAAGCUACUUCAUCGAGGUGAUUACUUUUCAUAGGACAGAAGUACCUUUAAUGUACCUUUUGCAUAUUUGAACUUGAGUUGAUGGAAGCUACGUCAGAAAGGUGGUUAGUACUCUGCUAAUAGGCACAUGGUCCAACCUGAUACGAUCUUACAUAAUCGAUAGCCACAACAAAAAAUAUCUGGCAGAACAACUCAUAUGGCCUACAUAGUAAAAGAGAGUAUUUCUAAACCCACUAAAAAUUGGUUUUUGCUGUUGAAACGAAGACAGGGCAGUAUAAUGUAUGUUGUCCACCAUGUGGCUUUUAACAAGCCACUAGAAAUGGGCUUUAACAAUACAAUACUCCUGUUCUUUCAAUCAGUAUCUUCACUAAUUAUUUUUAUGUUGAUCAGACUGAAGAUGGCACUUCUGGUUUGGAUGUCAAAGUUGAUCACAAGGGUGACCAUGAUUUUCGUGUAGAUGCUGCUGGCCUGCAAACUGAUGUGACUCUAGCUUAUUAUUCAAAGGUUAACCUCAGACGUUUUCUUCACAGUGAAGUGAACUGAUGCAUAGAUAGUUUCUGAUGACUGUACCCUCCCCAAAUUCUUCACCUUACUUCUGCAGGAUAAUAGCGAGCAUAUACACAUUUGGCAUGGGAAGCAUCAUCACCAUUACAGACAGACUCUGAGAACUGAGCAUGUAGUUGAUGAUACCUCCCAACCUAGCCAUGCUUCUGAGGGGAAGUCACAUCCAAAAGGGAGUGUUCUGGCACCGAUGGCUGGUUUGGUUGUGAAGGUUUUGCUUGAAGAUGGGGCACAGGUGGAGGCAGGGCAGCCUGUCAUGGUUAUGGAAGCAAUGAAGAUGGAGGUCUGGAUAAACUAUCUUGCCGGUUAUUUUUUGAAGUUCUGGCCCAACUCAAUGAACGCUAAAAUCUCUUUACUCUUUUCAGCAUGUUGUGAAGGCACCUCGCGCUGGAUAUGUGGAGGGCCUGAAGGUUACUGCUGGCCAACAAGUUUUUGACUCUAGUGUCCUUUUCACUAUUAAGGUACGUAGUGGUUUUUCUAAUAAUAUCCUAGAAAGCUUGCAUUUUUCUUUAUUUAUUUUGUCGCAACACAAAGUUAGUGCUAAGUUUCAUCAUCAUCAGAGAUGAACCAAUAGUAAUCGAACUUCUUAAAUGCAUUCAACUUAGAAUAUUAAGUGAAAUGAAAGGAAAAGAGUGUAAAAGUCAAUAGGUGACUGUUAUACAGUCUGAACAGCUGCAGCCAUGUGGUUUCAGUAUAUGGUAACCACAGCAUGAGUCAUUAGCAGCAGCAAGCGCCUGUUGCACUGAUUUUCUACCUUCUUAUAGAUAUUAGCCAUCUAUAAUGGUUUGAACCAACAGCGGUAUUCAAAGGCGUGCUGUGAUCUCUGGGGAAAGCAAACAGCAGCAGUAAUGUUAUCUGUAAAACCUUAUCUGUAGUGGAGGAGUUGGUUCAAACCCCACCAAAAUGAUCGCAGCGUUUUAUGUAGUAGAAAGCAGGGCUCCCCCUUCAGCCACAAAUUAGAAUAUACAAACUUUUUAAGAGUCGGUAGUGUUUGUUACAUAUUUUCUGUCAGAUUCUCAAAGAUGGAUCUAUAUAAUUAAAUCUAUACGAUACCAGUACAAAGGUCAUGUUUUCCUCCACUUUUGCCCUAGUACUCAGCUGAAUUCCAAACCAACCUUUUUCCAGGACAAUACUGCGAACUGAGAUGCAGCAUCCCAGAAGCUGUCCGACUACAGCAGUAUCAAACAAUUCACGGAUGAUCCAGGAGUUGAUCGACAACGCUGGCAUUCAGAUAGAAAGCAAAUGAAUAAACAGGUGGGUGGGUUCAUCUGCGGGCAAGCAACCUGCUGGACCAUGAACUCCCAGCGGCAUACUGGUAUCCUGGACCAUGGAUGGCACAGCUCUCUCGUAGUCUUGUGGUACAAAAGGUGCAUCAUAAUUCAUGUUAAUUCCACAAUUUGUUAUAGAGACAAGCUUGUCUACCAUCUUCAUCUCUUUGGGUUUGGAUAUGCAUAAAGCACCAACCACUUUUAGCUACACGUGCAUGGAAAAUGAUCGUAUGGGAGUCGGACGCAGGUUUUUGAGCACGCUUUGGGUCUCCAAAUACACGAGGGGUAUUAACAAUGAUUGGCCUCAGCAUGAAGCAUGGCUAGUACAGAGCCGACCAAGUCACUGUGACGACCGCAGUGGCGAAGUCAAAUUUCCAGCGGUCACUGACAGACCCAUGCGCUGCAACCCUGAAGGCAAAAUCACCGAUAAGAUGAGACGUCGGGUCGUCACCACCACCAGCAGCAGGAGCUUUGAAGCGUAGGAUCAGAUCAGACGUAACGACGUGAUUCCCUUCAAAUCCCUCACGAAUUUGACGUGAUCCCCUUUAAAUCCCUCACGAAUUUGACUUGAAUCGAAAUUUUUUCCAAAACCGUGUUUUUAGUUGGACGUUCCCCUUUAAAUCCCUCAUGAAUUUAACUUGAAUCGAAAUUUUUCCCAAAACCGUGUUCUUAGUUGGGCGUUCGAUUUUCUUCCCAAAACCGUGUUCUUGGUUGGACGUUCGACUUUCUCCAAAUUCAAACGGUGUUCUUAGUUGGACGUUCGAUUUUCUUCAAAAUCCACGAGGGAUACUUGAAAAACUCAAGAUCUUCUUCCUAGAUGUAUUAGUCCUUGAGGCUCAAGAUCUUCUUCCUAGAUCUAUUAGUCCUUGAGGGGUUGCAUCCAUAGCUCAAGUUUCAUCUCGAAUCGUUGAAUCUUUUUUUUUUUUGAAAUGUAAAUCGUUGAAUCUUGAGGGGAGUAUUUUUCGUUUGAAGUUGGUGCCUUUCUUGGUUCCUUCUGUUAUCUGUUCGAGCGCAGGAGCAAUCGACCGGCAGCUUCGCACGGACGCGGGGCAGGCCAGCUCAUCGGGCCAGGCCAGCAGCAGCGAGCCCAGCUAGUGGCAGCAGGCUGCCCAGCAGCAGCACGCCCUGCUUGUGCUUCGCAGGCCAGGCCAGCAGGCCAACAGUAGCAGGCCUGGCGAGCACCGCAGCUCAACCUGGUGGCCAGCGGCCCAGCACGCACGUGUGAGAGCAGGCGGAGACACAAGCACUCUAUAGCCAGGAGCACCCACGUGUGGCCUAAGGAGAAUCAACCCAUCAUUUCCAGCUGGCCCAUCGAGGUUCGGUCUAGUGCUUUUAAUUCGUGCUAAGUUAAUUAUUGCUAGAUAAUCUGUGCAACCUUGUUCAAUUGUUUUGUCAUUCGCUAAUCAUGCUUAGUUCUUAAUUAAUUAUUUCAAGCAUUUUUAGUCAAGUAAUGAUUUGGUAGUGGUUGAGCUCAAUCACUUGUGCAAGCUUUUCAGUGUCUCACUUUGCUUUGCUUGCGCUCCGCUUCGAGAAUUCCUAAUCGUUACUAGGAUGAGUUUGUUACGAGUUGUUGACUUGUGUCAUCUUGAUGAUUAGGCACGAUGUGUGUUUUAGAGUAGCAAUUGGAACAUACGUCUCAUUCUCGAAGACAAUUUCAAAAGCUCCCAUUCAACCUCCCUUUAGUUGCCCGUUCUGAUCCUUCUUGCAGCCUAACUCCGUAACUCGGCAUAGGAGGAUGCAGCAGCAUACGGCUGCUAAAACUUCGAUGAAUGCUUCUAGGUUUGACCACUCUGAUACGAUAUCCCUUUUUAUAUUCUUUUCGAAAAGCAUAACCCUUAUGCACUUAAAACUGAUAAGACGAAGCAGAGACGAAGUAGACGACGACGGGUUUGGUUGGAUGCUGGAAUCGAACAAGACGCUCCCGGCCAGGUUACCCGACUGCUAGCUAAGUUGUUCUUUUUUCCUGGGACGACAACAACGACAAGCUGCACCUGCACGUGCGCGAGUUGGCACGGACUACGGCGGCGUCAGAGUUCAAGUUCCCCUGGAGCAGCCCGAAAGCGACGGCGCACUCGAUCCGGCCAGCCAUGGCGACGCUGCCGGCCGGCCGGCCGCCAAAGCAGAAGGUGACGCUGCACGAAAGGACAAGGGAUUCCGGCGGCGACGUUUCUGUGGCACAGAAACGCAUGCACGAUCGAGCUGGAAAAAGAAGCCUGCGGGGAGAGAUCGAGGACGAUCGUGUUCCCGGCGACGUGGCCGUGUCGCCGCGCGUAGGAGGAGGGAACCUGAUGCUCCCAGCCUCCCAGGUUGUAGGCGCGUAGUCGCCUGCGUGUGCGUGCAGGGCUCGCCUCUCCGCGCGCGCACGUGCAUGGGGUUUGUGCGUGCGUGGCGGUUCUGGCGUCGACGCCUCUCCGUCCAACAAGAACCGGCGGCCACGCACGCACACGGAGCGUUGAACGAAGGUGUUCCGUUCAACCUUCUAUUCACUUGUUUACGACAUCGCGGCGAUGGACCACGGUUGAAGAGAGACCGAGGACGGCGACCACGCAAAAGGAAUAUGCAUCGUCUAUGCUUCACUCUACAUCACCAUCUACUUCCUUUCCUUCUUUAAUUUUACAUGUAUCUUGCUGCAUGAAUUGGAAAUAUCUCUUUAUCAAAGCCUACAACUAAUCAAACAAAUAGCACGAAGAACCAAGUACAGAAAUGAUACCAUGUUCUCCGAAUAUCCGACUGAUGAACCCCAAGAAACUAUAACUAUCCUCAUUUAUUAACGUAUAUUUUUUGAGCUUGCAUUCCUGGAAGGUAGGAGCAUGCAAGCAACAACCAAAUCAUGUCGUCAUUAGUAGGUACGUAAUUUCAACGUCAACAUUAUUAACUACAUAGCCAAUGUGGACAUCUUGAUGCAAUUAUUGCAUGUAAAAUGUUAUUUUCUGCGUGUCAACGUGGCGACAUGAUGCAAAUAAGAAGCGUCAUUCAAGAUGUCGUAAAAGAGUGGACCGCUUUGCCUGAAUGGGCGUUCUUGACUUUGUUGUUGCUCCAAAGAAAUUAAAUCCAGUUGAAACGAUCAUUGCGCGUUGAAUCAUGGCUUCUAGUGUAUAUACUCAUGAAGGAUAUACUUUUCUACAUGAUUUAUCAACUUUUACCUUUUUUUAACUUCUAUCUCCGAUUUCCUUUUUUUUAAGAAAAAACAAUGUGUUGUAAUGUUCAUGUCAAUUUCAAGAAAACAUCACAGCAGAUUAUCGCAAAAAACGAAGGAAAGUCAAAAGAGUUACCCUUGUUGUAUAUUUCGCACACGGCUUUUGUUGUAUAACUCCUUGCUACAACGAUAUUGUUUUCCUGUACAACCGACACUACUCCAUUAUUGUAACCAAUAGAGACCCUAACUUUAGAAUAAGUGGAUAACUGAGAGCUCCCGCCGAGGACAAAAUAAACCAUUCUUUCUCUUGUUUGAUGCUCUCUCCGUAGAAAUGCAAUCUUUGAGGUGUAAUUUUGGCCACCAUGAUGUAUUAUAAAAUGACCAUAAAUAUAGUUGUUCAAAUACUUUCAAGACAGAUCUAUCGUGUAUGAUUUUUUAUUAUAAACUCAUCAUAAUUAUAUUAGACAAGUUUGACUUAGGACAAAAUUAAAAUUACUUACAGUUUGAAAAAUAGUGGAGAAAGUUUUAGAGAUAUCAACGGCUAAGAUUUUGAAAGUUUGGUUGAGUUUUGGUCAAUAUUACUUACUAGAGGUACCUAUAAACAUGCCAUCUAUAUAGGAAUUCACCAAAAACUAGGCUAAUUUCUAUUUUCAAGACCUAGCUAGGACUCAACUCAAGAACUCUUCUCUAAUUUUAUGAAACCUAGUAUAUCACAUGAAAUUCAUGCCUCUAAGAUCUUCCCCGCAGUGUGAAAGUGAGGUUAAAAAAUUUGGAGCCCAUCGUAAAAAUAGCGUUGCUCUUUAAGGUGUAUAGCAUCACCCACCCCUUCCCCCCUCCCCCCAUCGCCCUUGACAAAUAAAACACAAAAUGGAAGCAGCAGAGUCCUCUCCUUUUCUUCCUCACACGCAUAGCCACGUAGACUAUCUUUCCUGGCUGUCUACGAGAGGCAGUUCAGAUCCGCCGCUGGUGAAGAUCGUUACCAUCCAACCUCGGUAAAAAUUAAACCCACUUGUUUGCUUGGUACUCUCUGCUCUAUUUUCUCCUUCGAUUGGAUAUCCAUGUUCUUAUCUCGUCAAAGGAUCUAGGGUGAGAUUUACAAGCAUUCCUCUCCAUACCUAGUCUCCCCCGAUGCGCUGACUAUUGAGUAGGUCUCAGGGAUUUCUGCGCUAGUUUCCUUACUAUGUUGUUCGUCUCUAUUGCUAUGUUGUGGCCUCUCGCCAUUGAACCCUCUGGAAAACCUCCUCGCACACAACCUCCACACCGCUAAUAAUGACUCCAGCUACCAAGCUCCACUUUGGGCUUGACUUCUCUUCAUAAUUAUUGUGGUAUUAAGUGUUUUCGUGCUGGCAGUAGAAAAAACUAUCUCUUACAAAGAUGGUAUCAGUGCCAACUACUUGCCCACCCCUCGUUUUCCUUGCGUGGCUGAGCGUUAGGAGCAUGUUCCAACCUUUCUCCUUUUAUUUUUGACCUAAGUUCCUUUAUUUCUCUAUAGGAAAAGAUAAAAUAAAUUCCUUUUUGCUUGCCAAAAAAAGAAGAAAAGAAACUCCUUUGUUCAACGAGUGGCACGCGCCUAGCUAAGAAGCCGUAUAUCAAUGUUGAAAACAUGGUUUAAUCCUUGACAUUUAUUGCCAUAAAUUCCUCACUCCUGACAAUCGAUAUACCGCGGGCCAAACUUCUGAAACACCUGUUCUUCCAUUACAUCUAAAGAAUCAAUACGUAUGUUAGCCCCAACCAUUUUUUUACAACACUUUUUUUCUGAUAUGACCUGUUAAUGACACACAGUACAUACUUUUCAGGAGUUGACAAGAAACUGUUUGUAUGAAACUGUUUGUAUGGUACAAUAAUACACCUUUCAGGAUGCAUCACUUUGCUAGGCAACCACUAGAAUUGGAGUGUGAAGAACAUGAUGGAUUUAGUGAGAAACUGCUUAAACUGUUCAUUACGUAUAAGCCUGAUGGAAGCUACUUCAUCGAGGUCAUUACUUUUCAUAGGACAGAAGUACCUUUAAUGUACCUUUUGCAUAUUUGAACUUGAGUUGAUGGAAGCUACGUCAAAAAGGUGGUUAGUACUCUGCUAAUAGGCACAUGGCCCAACCUGAUACGAUCUUACAUAAUCGAUAGCCACAACAAAAAAUAUCUGGCAGAACAACUCAUAUGGCCUACAUAGUAAAAGAGAGUAUUUCUAAACCCACUAGAAAUUGGUUUUCGCUGCUGACACGAAGACAGGGUAGUAUAAUGUAUGUUGUCCACCAUGUGGCUUUCAACAAGUCACUAGAAAUGGGCUUUAACAAUACAAUACUCUUGUUCUUUCAAUCAGUAUCUUCACUAAUUAUAUUUUUAUGUUGUGGCACUUCUGGUUUGGAUGUCAAAGUUGAUCACAAGGGUGACCAUGAUUUUUGUGUAGAUGCUGCUGGCCAGCAAACUAAUGUGACUCUAGCUUAUUAUUCAAAAGUUAACCUGAUACAUUUUCUUCACAGCGAAGUGAACUGAUGCAUAUAUAGUUUCUGAUGACUGUAUUACCCUCCCUAAAUUCUUCAC
rnacentral:lncRNA from 1 species